AACAUCCUACGGGGCGCAGCAGUGGGGAAUAUUGCACAAUGGGGGAAACCCUGAUGCAGCGACGCCGCGUGAGCGAGGAAGUAUUUCGGUAUGUAAAGCUCUAUCAGCAGGGACGAAAAAAGACGGUACCUGACUAAGAAGCCCCGGCUAACUACGUGCCAGCAGCCGCGGUAAUACGUAGGGGGCAAGCGUUAUCCGGAUUUACUGGGUGUAAAGGGAGCGUAGGUGGCAGGGCAAGUCAGAUGUGAAAACCCGGGGCUCAACUCCGGGAGUGCAUUUGAAACUGUCCAGCUAGAGUGCAGGAG
rnacentral:rRNA from 1 species